GUUCCUUGAAAGACAUGGGUAGUGAGAUGUCUUGUAUUCCCAUCUCACUACCUUGUCUUUGACGGAAAA
rfam:Stegodyphus mimosarum contig81517, whole genome shotgun sequence.